UACGUAGGGACCGAGCGUUGUCCGGAAUCAUUGGGCGUAAAGAGCGUGUAGGCGGCCCCUUAAGUCCUGCGUGAAAUCCUGCGGCUCAACCGCAGACGGUCGUGGGAAACUGGAGGGCUAGAGUGCGGGAGAGGAGAGUGGAAUUCCCGGUGUAGCGGUGAAAUGCGCAGAUAUCGGGAAGAACACCCGUGGCGAAGGCGGCUCUCUGGAACGCAACUGACGCUGAGGCGCGAAAGCGUGGGGAGCAAACAGG
rnacentral:rRNA from 1 species